AGGGUAGCCUAGUGGUCAUGGCAUCUGCCCGGUAAGCGGAAGGUCGUGGGAUCGAUUCCCAUUAUUAUUA